GAGUUAUUUACGGGGAAAAUUGGCUUAGAAAGACUGGUGACAAAGGGCGGAAACUGUUUUUAAGAUCAUUAAGUCUCCCCCAGUAUCCAAAGUGCUCUCUUGAGAUAAAAGGAAUGUAAAGGAAAAGUAGUUUAAUUACAUUUGUCAAGGCUUCGGUUUACGCGGUUUGAAGAAGUGUUUUGUAUGGAAGAAAAAAUGGAGCUAAACAUUUAAGGAAAUUAAUCCAGAAAUUUAAAAAAAUUCUUUUUAAAAGAUGGAAAUAAAUGAAGACCAUCUACAUGGGAACAAGUUGCUAUGAUGACAGGGUUCUUGUCUAGGUAAGGAAAAGCUUAAUGAAAACACAGGGACGUUUCCGUAAGCCCUGAUUAGAGACUGUUAUCAUGGGGAAGCUGGAGGAGGAGUAACUAGAAAUUGCACAUUUUAGGGAAAUGGUUUAGGGAGAAUAUUUGGUUUUCUCUGGUUUGUCCUUAAGUGGAAGCAAAAAUAAGAAGUUGGUAGCCCUUCAGGAUGUCCUGACUGCUCUGAAAGUGGUGGUUACCGCAGAGAUUUCUUUCGUGGGUCAGAGUUCUAGUGUCAUUUAAGUCGCCAUUGUCCUUUUGUUUACUCAGUGUAUCACAAGAGAUCUAAGUUAUUCUAACACGUGGGUUUUACAGUUGCCGUUGGGUCACGGCUCCAGGAGAUUCCACAGGGUGGAAAAACCUGCUGUUUCAGGACUGUCUGUGCCUUGAGCAAUAGCCCGACUGGAAGCUGUGUGGCUGUUGCUGCACGGAAGUGUGGCAUCCUCUGUGGUGUUUCUUGGCAUGUGAUACAAACGCAAUAGAGGGAAAAGGGCUCUUUUUUCUUUUUUUCAUAUAGCAAAUAUGCUCAAACCUAUAAUUAAAUUAAGAAAUAUCUAAAUUCAGGAGAAAUAAUAGGAGGAAGCCAUUUAAGCAGGAGAGAGGAUUAUUGCUCCAACUCAUGAAAUCUGCUUAUAGAUUAUCUGUUACAUAAUGCAUUACAGAGAUGUGCUAUUACUGACCAUUAUACUUUUUUCUUCUUCUAUGCCCCUUUCUUUGCAAAGUAACUUAGAUGAGUGCUAAUUAUUAAAAUGGUCACAAAUUAGCCAAACAACGAAGCCUUAGCUCUGCCUUUGAUAAAAACACAGUUGGUAGAACUUCCCAAAUUCCUGUUUAAAAUGCAGUGUCUGUGAAAGUAUAUUUUUUGUGUGCAUCUGUCUCGAUUUCUUUUGCUCACUAGUAACAGGAUAUAAAUUCUUUACCCCAUUUCUGGGAAUUUUAAACUGUAGGGGAAUGAACAAAUUUUAGGUGAUAGUAUGCAAGCCCCCGAGACCACUUAACACCUCUCCCCAGUAACCCCCUCCAAUUUGUUUAAAUUCAGUGAGCCAUGAAUUACUCUUAAAAAAACAUUAUCUAGUCCAUUUGUAAAGUGGUUACCAUCUAUAAUUUAUAAUUAUACCGUUAUAAUUUAUAAAAUUACCAUUUAUAAUUUUAUAGACAGGAUUAUGUUUAUGAUUAGGUGUUUAUAUGAAGCCACUUAUGAAAUAACUUAUUUUUCUAAGCUACUGUAACCUUGCUCUUCCUGUAGUGUUAAACAGUCAGCCAAUUUGUUGAGUACAUCAAUCCACAAGAAUUAAUUAAACUCUUACUUUGUGUUCACUGA